AAAAGCACAGCGGAUUUUGCUAUCAUGUUACACUUUUGUAGAUCAGGAUCGAAUUUGAACGUAUUACUCCUAAACAGAUUAUUUCAAUCCUGCAUUAUAUGGAAAUAUCGAUAACCCAUUCGAGCCUUUUUUUAAAUGUGUUUAUGUUUUUGAAAAAGUAUAUUAUUGUGAUACUUCCAUGUAUUAAAUCGUUUAAAUGGUAUGGUAAAGAACAGUACACAGAUACUUAUUCUUUGAUGCCCCGAAACACAUUCCUAGCUCUAGAUCUGCCUUACAUUUCAAUAAUGGCUCUUUCAUCACAUUUGCUUGAUAACUGCUGAUUUGUAAUGCUUAAAAUUGAUCCCACUCAGUUUGACUAUCUUAGGUUAGCUGUAAUAUCGAACUCGACAGUAGCUUCCUCUGUCAUGUCGGAGAUCUCAGGAGACGACUGGGUAUUUUGUGUCAAGAAGAGGUUAACCUCCCACUUAACAAGAUAAACAUCAAAUUCAUAGGAGUGCCAAACAGGGACCGUUUAAUCGAGAUGACUUCUCUGAUGACAGAGAUGUGGAAAAGACUACGUCCUUCUCUGGAAAACUACAAGGAUAAAAUACCCACCUUCUUCGGGAAAAAGUCCAUCAUAUGCGAAAGGAAACUUACUCACGUGCGAAAGACGAACUCUAAGAAUUGGAGAAUAACGGCAGUAGACAGCAGCUAACUUCCCCUGUACUCAACGACAUUGAACAAUAGACAUGAAAUGACUCGCUGACCCCCUACAAAGUACUUGUGCUCGGAGGCAGAAUUUGGCAUCGUUUGGGUCGAGAGAUUUCCAAGGGUAAUGAUACAGUUAAACUGUAUAAAAAUACCUCUCAAAAACAACCUUCUCCUGGUCGGCCAUGUCCCUCAUCCUGCACUUGACCCCUGCAGAGGUCACAAGAACAUCGGAGCACAAAUGAGCGAGAAACGGGGAAGCCUUAGCUUCCGGGUCAAGGACUGCAUCACUAGCACCUACCUAUUGAACCUAUUGAUAGGUUUAAAAGUAGGCAUCUUCACGCAAUCUGCGGACCACCUCCUAGCAGCGAAAUACGGAUAUACCCUCCCUAUUACAUGCGUUCAACCGGCACCCGAACCACACGCUGUUUCUUAGACACAACUUCCCACUUAAAUCAGUGUCCUGUCGCAUCAACUGGCAUCGGCAAGUGGCGACACUGUGUAGACUCAACCCUGAGCUUGAUCAGAAUCUUCAGUCACAAACCUGACACCGUUUCGGGGCUUGCAAUACGGUUUUCUGUCAGGCUCCCAGCAGUUUCUUUUGGACCACCAUCUCAUCUGACAAUCACCCGAGGAUACCUGCCAGAGCUCGCAAUUUACGACGAGUUAGCUUAUGGCACCUCUGGCUGUUAAGUGAAGUCAUAAAGCUCAAACAGCUCUCAUCUCCCAUUCUCUCUUCCUAGACAGCAGACCUGGGAGAAACUCCUUCUAGCCGGACGUCACGCGUGAUGUACGAGAAACUACGGACAGGGUACUCCUACUUGCGUGCGAAAGACAAAGGCAGCAAGAAUCGAAGAACAGAACCCCGACCACACUGCUUGUGAGAAAUGAGCAGCUCUUGAUCUAGGACAAAAAACUUUCUUCUGUUUAAUAUCUAAAACGUGUUACGUGUGAUAUUACACCAACUUUUGAUUAAUAAUACGAAACUUUAUACCUUAUAAAGUAUGAUAUUUAAACACGAAAAUUUACAUUCUGAAAUUGGUAUAGUGUUCCUUUAACUGUUCCUUCAACUUUCAUCGUAGCUUUUUUCAAAAUAUUCUUCAGUGCCAUCAACAAACAGAUUUUUUCAUUUGACUGAACUGUGCCAUAUUUGAUAUUGCCUCUGUAUUUUAUAGGGAAAAUUUUUUAAAUCUUGCAAGUUGAUGUAAUUAAGUUUUAAGUUAACGUAUUAUAGAUAUGUUAACACUAGUUUAUGUUUCAGUAUUUAAAUUGUUUCCAUUUAUAGUUUAACCGAUCCCUGUUGUAGAGUUAUCAGAUCUUUACUUAGGAUAAACAAUAUAAUAUGAAGUUCGAUAAUAAUAUUAAUAAA